GACGUAGGGCGCGAGCGUUGUCCGGAUUUAUUGGGCGUAAAGAGCUCGUAGGCGGCUUGUCGCGUCGUUCGUGAAAACCCACAGCUCAACCCUGGGAUGCCGGUCGAUACUGCCGGACUAGAGUUCGGAAGAGGCGAGUGGAAUUCCCGGUGUAGCGGUGAAAUGCGCAGAUAUCGGGAGGAACACCUAUGGCGAAGGCAGCUCGCUGGG
rnacentral:rRNA from 1 species